rnacentral:pre_miRNA from 1 species
UAAAUAUUUUUUUUGUAUAAAUAACUUUUAACUUUUGUACAAUACGAAUAUUUAGG